UAGGGAUACUCCAUUAUCUAAUUCUAGUUCAAAUUAUGUUGCACUGGGCUUGAUUUUGUCAUCCAGUAAUAAAAGGUGAUGAAUACCAAUCAAAUGAUCCUAGACAAUCUUACACAAAGUUUGGAAUCUAACGUCAUGACAUUUCUUACAAUCUUUUGAUGAAUGGAUCCUCUUGAGCCAUUUGAGCUUGCCACCAAGUACUUACCCGCAAUAAACAUAUUUCUCACU
rnacentral:lncRNA from 1 species